rnacentral:rRNA from 1 species
GGGUGUGAUCAUACCAGCGUUAAUGCACCGGAUCCCAUCAGAACUCUGCAGUUAAGUGCAUUAGGGCUAGAGUAGUACUGGGAUGGGUGACCUCCCGGGAAGUCCUAGUGUUGCACCCU